CUGGCCAGGUCCAGCCCCUCUCUUGCGCUGCCUGUCCCUCCUGAACUGCUCAUCAUUUCUAACUCUCUCUACUGGGGUCCUAUAUACUGGCUGGGGAGGGGGUGGCAUAUCUCUGGUGACCUGACAGAGCAAUUGAGUCAUUUGCUCUAGGAAGGCUUGCUGUGUCCUUACUAAAGUACCCAACGAUGGUUCUGCUCUACUGCUACUGCGCCCCUGACUACACGCAGGUGCAGGUGCGUGACUCUCUACUUCCUCCUCUAUCGGUUCUGGAGGUCCGUGCUCUGAAGGAUCAGAUGUCAUCGAUCCUCCAGUUUCU
rnacentral:misc_RNA from 1 species